rnacentral:rRNA from 1 species
UACGUAGGGUGCGAGCGUUAAUCGGAAUUACUGGGCGUAAAGCGUGCGCAGGCGGUCUGUUAAGACCGAUGUGAAAUCCCCGGGCUUAACCUAGGAAUUGCGCUUGAGACUGGAUAGCUUGGAGUGCGGCAGAGGGAGGUGGAAUUCCACGUGUAGCAGUGAAAUGCGUAGAGAUGUGGAGGAACACCGAUGGCGAAGGCAGCCUCCUGGGCCAGCACUGACGCUCAUGCACGAAAGCGUGGGGAGCAAACGGG